AUACGGAGGAUGCGAGCGUUAUCCGGAUUUAUUGGGUUUAAAGGGUGCGUAGGCGGUUUGUCAAGUCAGCGGUGAAACGCAAGGGCUUAACCCUUGACCUGCCGUUGAAACUGAUUGACUAGAAUGCGGAUGCUGUGGGAGGAAUGUGUGGUGUAGCGGUGAAAUGCAUAGAUAUCACACAGAACACCGAUUGCGAAGGCAUCUCACAAAUCCGUGAUUGACGCUGAGGCACGAAAGUGUGGGGAUCAAACAGGAUUAGAUACCCUGGUAGUCCACACUGUAAACGAUGAUAACUCGCUGUCGGCGAUAUACAGUCGGUGGCCAAGCGAAAGCGAUAAGUUAUCCACCUGGGGAGUACGACCGCAAGGUUGAAACUCAAAUGAAUUGACGGGG
rnacentral:rRNA from 1 species